CAACCGCGAACUUUUAACCUUUGACGAUUGACUCAUGUUGCCUCGGCGGGUUCUCUCGCCAGAGGAUACAUCAAAACUCCUGUUUUAACGGUGUUGUCUGAGCUACAAGCAACGAAUCAAAACUUUCAACAACGGAUCUCUUGGUUCUGGCAUCGAUGAAGAACGCAGCGAAAUGCGAUAAGUAGUGUGAAUUGCAGAAUUCAGUGAAUCAUCGAAUCUUUGAACGCACAUUGCGCCCCUUGGUAUCCCGAGGGGCAUGCCUGUUCGAGCGUCAUUUCACCACUCAAGCCUGGCUUGGUGUUGGGCGACGUCCCCUUCAGGGACGCGCCUCGAAACGCUCGGCGGCGUGGCACCGGCUUUAAGCGUAGCAGAAUCUUUCGCUUCAAAAGUUGGGGCCCCGUCUGCCGGAAGACCUACUCGCAAGGUUGACCUCGGAUCAGGCAGGGAUACCCGCUGAACUUAAGCAUAUCAAUAAGCGGAGGAAAAGAAACCAACAGGGAUUGCCUCAGUAACGGCGAGUGAAGCGGCAACAGCUCAAAUUUGAAAUCUGGCUCUUUCAGGGUCCGAGUUGUAAUUUGUAGAGGAUGCUUCGGCGUGGGCUCCGGUCUAAGUUCCUUGGAACAGGACGUCAUAGAGGGUGAGAAUCCCGUAUGUGAUCGGUUGCCCUUG
rnacentral:misc_RNA from 1 species